CGUUGCCGCCCGUUGCCGCCCGUUGCCUCUGGGGGUUUCAAGUUCUGGCACUUUCGAAAGCUUGAGGAGACGAUCACCUGGGUAUUUGGACAGAGGACAGGAAGCUGUUCAGCUAUACUCCGAACAGGGUUUAAUCCAAAAGAUGGGUCCAAUUCAUCCUGAAGUUUUUGAUGCUGCUGUAAAACACGACCAACAAAACACGGUUGAUGAGCCUCCCUGGCGAGCCCUCCUGUUGGUGCUGUGAACUAGCAGUUCCCGUCCCACGCAUGAGCCUGUAGUAGGGUUUUGGCUCAGAACUCUUCUUCGUAGAGGCACUUCUGGGUAAAUAAUGAAGCUCAACCAGACAGAAUGAAUAAAGGAAGAAAGUAAGAUUUUGUACUGAAUCAGUGCAAGGUGGUACUGAAGUAAAUGAACUGAUUUCCUUGAGAAUGUGUGUUCAGUAGAAACUUCUGUUUUUGAUGAGCUGUCUCUCCAAAGAACUGGAUGUGCUUUAACAGUAUCAUUUCUGAUUUAUCUGCUGUUGCCAGAUAAAUUUUCUUCUUGGGGGAAGAGCAGAAUUCUCUUUAUUUAAUGUACCAUGUCUGGAAUGUGGACUAGAUUCAGCUACAUGUCGCUUAUAAUUAUUUAUGUAACUUAUUAAUCACUGAGCUGUCACUCAGCUGUUUAUAAAACACAAAAGAACACUUGGAGCCUGAAAAAUUACAUUUUUCCUCCCUUGCACCUCCCCAAAGGCCCCUCUGCACUUCUGAGGAGACCUUCAUUUAAAUGAAAAUCUGUUGCCCAGUCUAAGUAACAAGGAACACUAUCACAAUCAUUUAAAGAACACGCUUGUACUUUGUUCUUGGGAACUGAAUGAUUUGCUUUAAGGUGCUGUAAAACUUUCUGGGAUGAUGUCCCUGUCUCAUCCUACAGCUUUUUUCGAAACAGGUCGUAGAUAGGAUCUUCCUCUUGCCUGCUCAGCAACUUAUUUUCCCAAUACUCAAUACUUGUAAAAACACAAUGUCUUUGAGAUUGCUAUAUGUGGAACAUGUUUGGUUGAAACUGGCCAGUGCAUUUGAAAAUUAUUAAGGGAAACAAGCACAUAUGCACACACAUAUGCACAUACACUAGUUUCACAAGUCUCAUUUCUCUAGUAACCUUUUCCUUGAUGAAGUUAAUCUGUGUGGUUUUGUGCAGAUCACUCCUGAGCUCUCUUGCAGAAUAGCUGACAGUUUGUCUUUCAAAACAAUAUACCUUUCUAGCUCAUAGGGAACAGUAUCCAGGCUUCUAAAUGGUACACAGAAGAGCAAUGACGCCAUUAAGUUGAAUUAUAUUUAAGAUUCGAUUAUGAAUAGCAUCUUUGAGGCAGGCUAUUUAUCGUUUGGCAUUCUACAUGGGUUUCAGUGUCUUGAGGCUUUAUUGAAGGCAGUUUACUGAGCAGUCUGUAGCCAGAUCAGAGAACCACUGAAACCCAGCGGCUGGCAUGUACUACUGCUAGUGGCAUUCCCAGGUUAUUCGCUCAGGCUGCGGUACAAGCAAGAUGCUCAUCCCCUCAGUGCCUCUAUUUAUCCAGUUGCACCACUAUUUAUCUGCCUUCCCAUCCAUUUGGUGGGCUGACUAGCAACAGGUUUUGAAUCUUUGCAUGGAAGGCUCCUCAUUAAUCUGUGCCACAAUUUGCUUUGUUUGCUCCUACCAUUAAAAUUACUUGUUUCCCCCAAAGAUCUGCCAUCUGUCACUAUUCACUUUUUACAUUUUUAUGCUCCACAGUUGAGCAAACACAAAUGCCUGAGUAAUUCUAUAUCCUACUAUCAGCGCUUGGAAGUGCUCUGAAUUUGGGGUGUUUGUGAUGUCUCGCUCCUGGGAUUGAACCAGGAUCCAAAGGUUCACCCUGCAGCCUUUUCCUCAUUGCAGCCACUAACAGCAUCCUGGGUUUUCUUCAAUGUGGGGGUUGCCUGGCAUUAAAAAACUAUUUAGGUCUAUUUUUCCCUCAUUGCCAUAUAUUGCAGAUUUUCUCAGGAAGUAGCGUAGGGUUGUAGGAGGGAGAGACAAAGAGACGAGAAAUUACCUG